UGCUUUCAGUAGUUGCAAUUAAUGGUGAGGAGUCUCAGAGGGGCGGGCCUUCAAUAUAAGAUUUUUAUUUUUUCGAUACAUUAGUUUCGUUAGCUUAAUGUUGCACGUCUUGUCCUCAGAUGUUUAUUUCAUUGAGGCGGCUUGCUCUGCUUGGACAUGGUACACAAUGCUCUAUUUUUUUUGUUAUAUUUUUUAUUAUAUAUAUAUAUAUAUAUAUCAGGUAAUAGUCACGUCAGGUAUGGAGUGGCUGGUCAAACUCUCGACCCAGGUCACUGUAUGAGGGCACCUGGUAGGCGGCUCACGUGACCAGCCGCCCACCUGCCUCCAGUGGUCGUCAUGGCAACAUCUCUACCUCCCAGAAUAGUUGCACUUGCCUAGAAUUUCCCCGAAGAAAACAUCCUUUUAUAUCUGUAUAAGUGCUGUUAAUAAAAAUAUUUGUUUGUUAGGUUCACUUCGCAGUUACGGGACUGGAUAGGCACGAGAAGAGCCGUGGCAGCAGAUCGAGGCUUGCCUCGGGAUAGAGAGACGGGAAUAGGGGAGGGCAGAGGGAAGUGUUACCUUUAUAGGCAGCAUGCCGAGGCCGGGGUUGCGCGCAACGCUUCGGACUAUCACGUUGUAACAUCCCACGCUCGAAAUAUCUCUCAGUCCUUCGUUCAGUCUCAUUUAGUUUCGUGGGCGGGUGUUUCAAGUUUUGUCUUACAAGCUGAAGAGUAUUCUUGUUUCCCGCCGUGGUUUAGCCGUUGCAUGAGGGCAAGGCGGUGGCCUGGGAGAGUGCUGGGCCGUCCCCUGUGUUGCUCCUCGCUCCAGGAACAAAUUGGCAACGCACCAAAAUUCCGCAGUUGAGGACAGCAAAGGCUCCGUUGGUGGUGGUUGUUAGUACACGAGCAGUCCAAUAGCUGGCGCGCGUCGCUACGGCCAGGAAGCGCUUGUACUCUGCUUGCGUCCACACACACACACACUCCCCUGCCUGGACCCACCUCAGCGACAGUGACAAUGUUCUUCAGCAUCGAAUUAUGGUUGCUGAGACAGUGAAGUCUUGCCCGGUCAACUACCCGGCACUGAUCCCACUCACCCCACCUGUGACUGGCCUGGGCGGAUACAACUCUCCCUCGCUCCUGCACUCCAGCUACCC
rnacentral:misc_RNA from 1 species